rnacentral:rRNA from 1 species
UACGUAGGGUGCGAGCGUUGUCCGGAAUCAUUGGGCGUAAAGAGCGCGUAGGCGGCCCUGUAAGUCCGCUGUGAAAGUCAAGGGCUCAACCCUUGGAUGCCGGUGGAUACUGCAGGGCUAGAGUCCGGAAGAGGCGAGUGGAAUUCCUGGUGUAGCAGUGAAAUGCGCAGAUAUCAGGAGGAACACCGAUGGCGAAGGCAGCUCGCUGGGACGGUACUGACGCUGAGGCGCGAAAGCGUGGGGAGCAAACAGG